AGAGUUUGAUCCUGGCUCAGAUUGACGCUGGCGGCAUGCUUMACWCAUGCAGUCGAACGAUGAAGCUUUAGCUUGCUAGAGUGGAUUAGUGGCGGACGGGUGAGUACGCGUGGAUCUGCCAGAAGUGGGGGGACAGCCCGGAGAAAUCCGGAUUAAUACCGCAUACCUUCCUACGGAAGAAAAGGCUUUCGGCCGCUUUUUGGAUKGAGCCCCGCGUUAGAUUAGCUAGUUUGGGUGGGGGUAAAGGCCUACCAAGGCAACGAUCUUAUUAGCUGGUCCUGAAGAGGAUGAUCAGCCACCAUCGGGACUGAGACACGGCCCGGACUCCCUACGGGAGGGCAGCAGUGGGGGAAUAUUGGACAAUGGAGGCAACUCUGAUCCAGCAAAUGGCCCGCGUGUUGCGAAAGAAGGCCCGGAGGGUUGUAAAGCACUUUCAGUUGCGAAGAUUAAUGACGUUAGCAACAGAAGAAGCACCGGCCUAACUCCGUGCCAGCAGCCCGCGGUAAUUACGGAGGGUUGCAAGCGUUAAUCGGAAUUUACUGGGCGUAAAAGCGCGCGUUAGGCGGUUGAUUAAGUCAGAUGGUGAAAGCCCCGGGGCUCAACCCUGGGAACUUGCAUCUUGAUACUGGUCCAACUUAGAGUUUUUGGAAGAAGUAAGUGGAAUUUUCCUUGUGUAGCGGUUGAAUUGCGUAGAUUUUAGAGGACACAAUUGGCGAAGGCGCUUACUGGCCAAAACUGACGCUGAAGUGCGAAGGGCGUGGGUAGCGACAGGAUUAGAUACCCUGGUAGUCACGCCGUAACGAUGUCAACUAGUCGUUGGUCUCCUUGAGAGAUUAGUGACGCAGCUAACGCACUAAGUUGACCGCCUGGGGAGUACGCCGGCAACGGUAAAACUCAAAGGAAUUGACGGGGGCCCGCACAAGCGGUGGAGCAUGUGGUUUAAUUCGAUGCAACGCGAAGAACCUUACCAUCCCUUGACAUCCUCAGAACUUGUACGAGAUUACUUGGUGCCUUCGGGAACUGAGUGACAGGUGCUGCACGGCUGUCGUCAGCUCGUGUCGUGAGAUGUUGGGUUAAGUCCCGCAACGAGCGCAACCCCUAUCCCUGGUUGCUAACAGGUUAUGCUGAGAACUCCAGGGAGACUGCCGGUGACAAACCGGAGGAAGGUGGGGACGACGUCAAGUCAUCAUGGCCCUUAUGGGAUGGGCUACACACGUGCUACAAUGGUAUAUACAGAGGGCUGCGAACUCGCGAGAGCAAGCCAAUCCCAGAAAAUGUAUCGUAGUCCCGGAUGGAGUCUGCCAACUCGACUCCAUGAAGACGGAAUCGCUAGUAAUCGCGAAUCAGAAUGUCGCGGUGAAUACGUUCCCGGGCCUUGUACACACCGCCCGUCACACCAUGGGAGUGGGUUGCACCAGAAGUAGCUAGGCUAACCUUCGGGAGGCCGGUUACCACGGUGUGAUUCAUGACUGGGGUGAAGUCGUAACAAGGUAACC
rnacentral:rRNA from 1 species